AGCGCAGGCGGGAGAACAAGUUGGAAGUGAAAUCCAUGGGCUCAACCCAUGAACUGCUUUCAAAACUGCUUUUCUUGAGUAGUGCAGAGGUAGGCGGAAUUCCCGGUGUAGCGGUGGAAUGCGUAGAUAUCGGGAGGAACACCAGUGGCGAAGGCGGCCUACUGGGCACCAACUGACGCUGAGGCUCGAAAGUGUGGGUAGCAAACA
rnacentral:rRNA from 1 species